UUAGAGUCUGUGAUGGUGGAGCAAAGGCAUGGCACAGGGAGUAGCUGAGAGCUCACAUCUUGAUCUCCAAGCAGGAGACAGAAAGAGAGCAUACUGGGAAUGGUAGAAGUCUUUUGAAACCCAAAGCCUAUCUUUCAAACACACCUCCUCCAAGAUCAUACCUCCUGAUCCUUCCCAAACAGUUGAGGACUAUAUCUUCAGUUUUAUGAGCCAUGGGGCACCUUCUCAUUCAAACUACAUUUCAUGUCCUGAUUUUGAACAGGCUUGUGGACAUGUCAUAAUACAAAAUACAUUUAUUUCAACUUUGGAAGUCCUUGCAGUCUUUCACAGUCUCAAUACUGUUUUAAAGUCUAAGUCUUUUCUGAGAUUCAAGGCCAGCAGUUCUCAAUCUGUGUUUUGUCCCCUUUGGGGAUUGAACAACCCUUUCACGGGAGUCAUCUUAGAUCAUUGGAAAAAACAGAUAUUUGUUUGUAACAGUAGCAAAAUUACAAUUAAGAAGUAGUCAUGAAAAUAAUUUUGUGGUUGGGGGUCAUCAAAACAUGAGGAACUAUAUGAAAGGGCCUCAGCAUUAGGAAAGAUGAGAACCACUACUCAAGGCAAUUUCUUAAUUGUAACCCCUUUAAAAAUCAAAAAGCAAAUUAUGUGCUUCCAACAUAUAAUGGCACAGAAUAUGUAUUACCAUUCCAAAAGGAAGUGAUGGGGCACAAAGACAAACUACUAAACCAAAGCAAGAUGGAAACCCGGAAGAGCAAACUCCACUCCAUGUGUUAUAUCAGAGGGUUUAGAUUGUUCUUCCCUUCCAGCUUUGCAGCCUGCUUCACACUUCUUUCUCCCUGUAUGCAGGAUAGUUCCACUCCCUAUAUCUUGAGAUCUCCAAUUCAAUCCAGCUGUCACCUACAGCUUUGUGAAAUGGCCUUUCAGAGCCUCCAUACAAGGAGGCUACAAACCCCUGCUACACACAGGGGUCUGUAGCCUCAGCUGUUCUCCUUAACCAUGGAGGAAGAUUCCACAUUGAUUCUAAAACAAUAACCACAUGCACAACACAUAGUGAUAGAGCAAGGCCAUGGUGACAGGAAUAGCUGAGAGCUCAUGUCUUGGUCCCUAAGCAGGAGGCAGGAAAAAAAUACUAGAACUGACUCCAGACUCAAAGCCUACCUCAGUGACAGACCUCCUCCCACCAAGACACACUUUCUAAUACUAACAUUUCUACCAGCUGCCGACUACGCAUUUAAAUAGGAGCCUAUGGGAGCCAUUCCUGUUCAAACCAGGUUUGGUGGUACAUGUCUAUAAUUUCAGAACUUUCAAGCCUAAAGGAAGAGAAGAAUUCUUAUGAAUUCUAGGCCAGCCUGGACUAGAGUGAGAAACUUUAUCUGUAAAAAAUAAAUAAAUAAAAUUCUUUUGAAGGUGUUAAGCUGAGAGGAAUAUAUACGUAUCUUGCUAUGUCAUGUUGUGAAUGUAAGUGUGAAAAUUUGUCUUAGGGCAGGAGAGAUUAUAUACCAUAUAAGAUCACAUUCUGCUGUUGCCGAGGACCCAAAAUUAUUUCCCAACCCCAGCUCAGGUGGCUCACAACCAUCUGUGACUGUAGCUCUAGGAGGAUCUAACAGCUGUGACUCUGCCAACACCUGUAUGCAUGUGUACAUAUCCACAUUCAUAUAUGUAUAAUAAAAAUAAAAUUCUUAAGAAAAGAUAUAUGUCGGGCUGGAGAGAUGGCUCAGUGGUUAAGAGCACUGACUGCUCUUCCAGAGGUCCUGCGUUCAAUUCCCAGCAACUACAUAGUGGCUCACAACCAUCUGUAAUGGGAUUGGAUGCCCUCUUCUGGUAUGUGAGAAGACAGCAACAGUGUACUUGCACACAUUAAACAAACAAACAAAUAGAUAGAUAGAAUAUUUUUUAAAAAAGAAAAGAAAAGAAAAGAAAAGGUAUAUGUCUGGAGGAAAAUGUACCCAGAGCAAUGAGUUGACUUUUGAAUGGAUCGGUUAAAAACAUUAAAAAAAAAAUCAGUGGGUAGAAAUAAAAUGUUAAAUGUUCUAAAUUAUACAGUAGUCAUAGUAAAGGAGUAAUUUUGAAUAAUAUUUUAGAAUUUUAUUUUCAUUUUGUUUAUUUAAUUUUGGGGGCAUAUAUAUAGCCUUGGUUGGCCUAGAACUCACAAUUUAGACUAAGCUGGUCUCAAACUCAGAUCUACUUGCCUCUGCCUCCUGAGUGUUAGAAAAAUAGAAAGAAACUUGGUUAUGUAUCAGUCAAUAGGUAUGUGCCAAUGGAAUCGUGGCAUACUCUACAAAUAGCUAAUAAAAGUACCUUACCCCUAAAAUAUUUUCUCUCAGUGGUUUUUAACUCAUAUUUAAUUGGAAAAAUAGAAAAAUUCAAAAAGAAGUUGAUUUAUCCUCCCAUAAGUGAAUUCCUAAUCAAGUAUUUUUUUAAAAAAAUUCAUUGAUUCAUUUACUUACUUGUGGAACACAUUUCCAUGUGUUCCAGAAUUGGCCAUCAAGUGUACUGUCACUGUCUGCCUCCUCCCUUGAGGCAAGGUCUCUAUGUGACCCAGGGCUCUUGUUUUCUUGACUAGGACAACAGCCAGCAACCUGAAUCCACCAAUGCAUGUGCAGGAUGUCUGGCUUGUUAUGUGGGUGUAGUGAUCUAAACUUCAAUUUUAUCAAUUUUGUGGCAAGUGCUUUUAACCAUCUCUUCAGACCCUAAUCUAGUCUUUUUUUUUUUUUUUUCCAAUAGACUCUACUAUAUGCCAGAAUCAUUUAGGGUGAUUAUUAAAAAUAUGGGUUCCUAGGCUGAUGAGAUGGCUCAGCUGGUAAAAGUAUUUACCAUUCAAGCCUGAUGACUGAAGUUGACCCCUGAAACUCACAUACAUAUGGAGGAGAGGACCAGCUCCUAAAAAAUUGACUUCUGUACACUCUCAAACACAGAACUCAUAACUAAAUAGAUUUUUUGUUUUUAAAGGCUUCUAGGAUACUACUUCCUUUUAUACUCCAAAGCUGUCCAGUCUCAGAGACUGAAGACCAUAGCACUGUACUUUGGCUACAUCUGGGGAGGUACUCAGCAAUUUUGUUACAUGGUUUUAGGAGUUUUUUGCUUGGUACCAGAUAUCCUACUCACCAUCUGAGUCUCAGCAGAAAUAUAGCUAUUUUCUUUUGGGAAUAAAUAAAACAAAACCCAAAUUAGGUAGCCGUGGUAGUUUGUAUCUGUAGUUCCAGCUUAGACAAGUAGGUGGGGAGUUUGAGGCAAGUCUAGGCUGCAAAGCUGUGCCACCUCCUAAAUAAAACAAACAAAACCCUUCUCUUAUUGAUGACUUAUACCAUGAACUUCAUGUUUUAAGUGUGUAGUUGUAGAGUUGUACAAUUAAUUUACUUUUGUGUUAAUUCUGUCACUAUUGAAAAAUCUCUGUAGAUGACCUAGGUUCCAGUCACAACCACCUAUAAUUACAGAGCUAGAGAAUCUGAUGCCCCUGUCCUACUUCCUCGAGCAGUAGCUACACAUGCAGUGCGCGCGCGCACACACACACACACACACACACAGAGCAGGCAAAAUACCUAUAAAUAAAUAAUCUAAGAAAAUAGGAGGUAAAUAAAGGAUCUCUGUCCAUUUGAAGAGGUUUAAGCAACCACUAUUCAGUUUUCUGUGUUUAGAUUUUCCUUUUUUAAAUUUUUUAUAUUGUCUAGACAGCUAAAAUAUAUAGCAUUUUGAAGAAAUUCUGUCAGAAAAUAAAGAUAUCCUUUAAAUUGAUGACAAUC
rnacentral:lncRNA from 1 species